rnacentral:ncRNA from 1 species
GAGAGCACAGUACGAUGAAAGUUGUAAACUGUGUUCGGGGGGGGGGGGGGGGGGGGGGGGGUUAUUGUCUAUCGUUGGCCUCUAUGGUAGAAUCAGUCGGGGGACCUGAGAGGCGGUGGUUUACCCUGC